rnacentral:rRNA from 1 species
AGUGAACGCUGGCGGUAGGCCUAACACAUGCAAGUCGAACGGCAGCACAGUAAGAGCUUGCUCUUACGGGUGGCGAGUGGCGGACGGGUGAGGAAUACAUCGGAAUCUACUUUUUCGUGGGGGAUAACGUAGGGAAACUUACGCUAAUACCGCAUACGACCUACGGGUGAAAGCAGGGGAUCUUCGGACCUUGCGCGAUUGAAUGAGCCGAUGUCGGAUUAGCUAGUUGGCGGGGUAAAGGCCCACCAAGGCGACGAUCCGUAGCUGGUCUGAGAGGAUGAUCAGCCACAAUGGAAAUGAGACACGGUCCAGACUCCUACGGGAGGCAGCAGUGGGGAAUAUUGGACAAUGGGCGCAAGCCUGAACCAGCCAUACCGCGUGGGUGAAGAAGGCCUUCGGGUUGUAAAGCCCUUUUGUUGGGAAAGAAAAGCAGCAGGUUAAUACCCCGCUGUUCGGACGGGACCCAAAGAAUAAGCACAGGAGAACUUCGU